AACGCACCCCAUCUAAAAAUUGUUUUAGUUACUUUUUUGAACAUUUUAGUUAUUGAAGAAAUAGUGUGCUAAAAAGAAAGAGAUAGGUGGCGAGAGUAAUUUGGGAAUCAACGCACCCCAUCUAAAAAUUGUUUUAGUUACUUUUUUAUUCAUUUUAUUUGUUAAAGCAAAAAUAGUGUGCUAAAAAGAAGAACUUCGUAUAGCAUACAUUAUACGAAGUUAUACGAGGUUUUGCUGACCGAGAUAAUGGUUAACAGAGACAAACGGGCCAUUCGUAUUGCUACGUGAGAGGUGAAAUUCUUGGACCGUAGCAAGACGGACUACAGCGAAAGCAUUUGGACAAGAAUGUCUUCAUUAAUCAAGAACGAAAGUCAGAGGUUCGAAGGCGAUCAGAUACCGCCCUAGUUCUGACCGUAAACGAUGCCAACUAGCGAUCCGCCGGCGGAUUCAUUCGCCCUGGUGGGGAGCUUCCCGGAAACGAAAGUCUUCCGGUUCCGGGGGAAGUAUGGUUGCAAAGCUGAAACUUAAAGGAAUUGACGGAAGGGCACCACCAGGAGUGGAGCCUGCGGCUUAAUUUGACUCAACACGGGGAAACUCACCCGGCCCGGACACCGUAAGGAUUGACAGAUUGAUAGCUUUUUCAUGAUUCGGUGGAUGGUGGUGCAUGGCCGUUCUUAGUUCGUGGAGCGAUUUGUCUGGUUUAUUCCGAUAACGAGCGAGACUCUAGCCUACUAAAUAGUUGGCUCAUUGCUGCUGUGGGCACAACUUCUUAGAGGGAUUUUCGGUGUUCAGCCGCACGAAAUUGAGCAAUAACAGGUCUGUGAUGCCCUUAGAUGUCCGGGGCUGCACGCGCGCUACACUGGCAAAAUCAGCGUGCUUGUCCUUCCCCGAAAGGGGUUGGUAAACCGGUGAAAAUUUGCCGUGAUUGGGAUCGGACAUUGCAAUUAUUGUCCGUGAACGAGGAAUUCCUUGUAGGGGCGAGUCAUCAACUCGCUCUGAAUACGUCCUUGCUUUUGUGGCAUCUCGUAGGGUUGCUGGGUGGCUGCAGGGGAAACUCUAGUAGGAUUGCGU
rnacentral:ncRNA from 1 species